UCAUGAAGGUCUAAUUGAAGUCUCUGUACAACAUCAGCAAAAUCCUCAGCAUGAAAACAAAUCACAUCUUUGGUUAUGCGAGGUUGGUCACUCCUAAUAUUAACAAAAUUAAGUUAUAGGACCAAGCAUUCACUAUAAAAAAUGAUGACAAAUUUCAGUUCUCCAUUUCCUGGAAAUCCUACUACUAACAAACAAGCAGAAUACAGAUCUUCUAAAGACAAAGUAUACACUUGAUACUUUAAUCAAUUUCCAAAAAACAGAAACAAACCAAUAAAUCUACUUUUAAAGAAAACAUAAAAAUCAGAUUAGCUCUGCAAAAUUUCAAAAACAAUGGCCAAAAAAAAGUUUUAUUCUAAAUAACAUUUGCAGUUUUCCCAACAGUUUGCACCUCUAUGUCCUGAACUUUAUUAAAAUUGGGCUCCAACUGAAUGUAACGUGGUUGGUGCAGCCACUAUGGAAAGCAGUUCCUUGAGACAUUAAAAGAGAAUCACCAUAUGAUCCAAUACCACUUCUGGAUAUAUACCUCAAAAAACUGAAAGCAGGGACAUGAAGAGAUAUUUGGAAGCUAGUUAGCUAUUGGUUCACAACAGACAUAAGGUGGAAGCAAGCAAGUAUCCAUAAAUGGACAAAAUGUUAUAUACACACACACCCGAUAUAUAUAGUUGGUACACAGCCUUUUUCAAAAAGGGAGAUUCAAAUACUUGGUACAUCAAUGGAUUAACCCUGAGUACUUUUAGUAAGAAAAAUAAGCUAAUUACAAAAAGACAAAUACUUUAUGAUUCUACUUAUAUGAUAGCAAAAACAGUUAAAUUCAAAUAAACAAAAUACAAUGAUGGUUAGCAGAGUUUAGGCAUGAGGGGGGAAAAGGGAAUAAUUCUUAAAUAUAGAGCUUUAGUUUUGCAAGACUGAAAAGUUCUGGAGACUUGUUCCACAACAAUGUGAUUAUACUUAACAUUAAUGAAUGUACAUUUUUUAAAUGUUUAAAAUGGUAACUGUUAUGGUUUGUAUCUAGACGUCCGCCCCCAAAGCUUCAUGCGGUCAUAGUUGGGGCUUUUCAGAGGUGGCUGGAUCUAGAAUGUGUGAUGCUGGGAUUAAGGGUAUGAUUACUAAAUUAGUCCACUGAUUAGUUUGGCAUAGUUCUGGGUUUGAGCGCUACCUGCCCUACGGGUGGGUAGACUAGAUAGAAUAUAAAGGGACACAAAGAAGCUGCUAUUGUACUAUUGUCACUUGUAACUGGGAACCUCCUACUAUUUGUCUUCUGCUCACCACAAACCAUUUCUCUUUUGUGAUGCCUCUCUGCCAUGCCACCCUGCCUUGGACCCAACCAAUUACGGAUUGAAACCUCUACAAACUGUAAGCCAAAAUUAACCUUUCCUCCUUUAACUUUGGGUGUUGAGCUUUUUGUAGCAGAAAUGAAAAAAAUUAAGAGAGUAACCUCCACGAUUAUUUUACUACAAUUUAAAAAUUGGCCCCCAACCUUUUUUUUUUGGUACCGGGGCUCGAACUCGGAUCCUUGCGCUUGCGCAGGAGGCAAAACCACUGAGCUAAAUCCCCGGCCCCCCCAAUCUUUUAAGUAAAGUCUGUAUUUCCCUAGACAACACUAACCAACCUCACAGCUGACAUCCACUUACUUACCAUUCACCAAACUGUACAGCUUUCAAAACCCCAACAGCAGCCGUACUCUGCCAGUCAAACCCCUGACCUACAUGAUCAGCAUGAGCUCUUGUCCUAUCUUCAAAGAGGACUUCACGGGGUUCACUGGUCCGAGAAAUGGUGAUUCUUCUAACAUAUCAAGGAACUCUGGGAAAUAAUCACCAACUUCUUCAUCUACUGCUCCAACAAGACUUAUCUGCCGCAUUGGACCUGCUCGGUGCAACAGUGAGGGACAGCCAGGCUCAACCAUGCACCUAUCAACACCAGAAGAAAUGACCAAACUUAAAAGACAGAAGGAAACUAACUACAAUCCUGGAUGACACCACAGAACAAAGUCUUAUAACACUAGGCUGUCUUGUGAAAGUUUUUCUUUUCUCUUCUAUUUUUGGUACUGGAGAUUGAAUCCAGGGCCUUGUACAUGCUAAGAAAGCACUAUACCACUGAGCCUCAUUACCAGCAGUUUUCUGUUUUUCCUAACCGUACAUGUGGGACCUUUGUUAGGGUGGUUUUUGCUUAUAUCUUCAAUAUUUUGUUCUAAGGGAGAAAUACUCUGCAUUGCACAGAUGACAUGUGUGGUAUUAUCUCCUGAUGUAGGCAAAAAGGAAAAAAAAAAACCCUAUAACUACAGCACACUCAAAAGAGAAUAAUUAAGAUGAAGGACUUAUAAAUGAUACAAAUUGAAGGAAAAGUACAGGAAAUUAAAAGCAAGUCAAAAGUAUUUAAUUUGAAAAGAUUAAAAGGGGGUACAAAACAGUCUUCAAAUUCUUGAAGCCUUCUGUGGUUUGUCCCCUAAAAGCUUGUGUGCUGAAAGCUUGGUCCUAGUACAGUAAUGCUUAGGGAUCGUGGAACCUUUAAAAGGUGGAGCUUAGUGGAAGGUAUAAUUAGGUCACUGGGGGCUUCUUAGGGAAGAUUACUUACCAUGGUGCUCACAGGACACAACUCCCUAGAGAAUGAGUUGUUAUAAGGGAGCUUUGCACAUCCUCUGAAUUCCUCUUCUGUGUCGGCCCCUGCCACUCUCAUACACACCAUUUUAGCACCAUCCACCAUGAGACCCAUGGAGCUGAGAAGGUGUCAGUGCCAUGCACUUGAACCUCCAGAACUAUGAGCAAAUAAGCCUCUUUUCUUUAUAAAGUACCCAAACUCUGGUAUUUUGUUAUAGCAACAGAAAAUGGGCUCAACAUCUUACCACAGAAGAGUAGAAUUACAUAAACUUAAAAAGAGAACAGUAGGCAACUUGGGUCUGGAAACAGAAGAGGUCUAGACAGGAUAUAAAUGCCAGUCCUUGGCAGUAAUUGAAACAUCAGACUUAAAAGAAAUCUGACUAGAGAAAAUAUAGAGACAGCUCAAAGAGAAAGAGUCUAUUUAAAAACCCAAAAGGAAAGGAAUACAGACCAAAGAGAAUGUAAAGGAAUGGUCAAGUGAUCAGAAAAGCUAAGAAGAAAACAUUUCAAAAAGAGCUUAAAAAUGUUGCUAAGACUUUCUAUAAGAUUAAAGACAAAAAAUACCACUGGUGACAUCAAAAGAUGAUUCAAAGAAAUUACAAGGACAGAAACCAAAUUUAUAUGGUUUGAAGAGAUAUGAGCAUAUAGGGACAGCAAGUGUGAAAAAUUCAAGAAGUUGGCUGUGAAAAUUAGACUGACAGAAAGGGAAUAAGAUCAAAUAAGAAUAUUUAAGAUGGAGAGACAGAAAUCUCCUAGAGGUUUUAUAAACUUCCAUUCCCACCAGCAAUGUAAGGAAAUAUGUUUCCCCACAACCUCACUGAUAGAAUGUUAUCAAACUUUUGGAUUUUUAAUAAUUUAAUAAGCAAAAACUGGCACAUUGGUAGUUUUAAUUUCAUUUUUGUUAAGAAUGAAGUUGUGUAUCAUUUUAGAGGCUACAGGGCCGUUUGUAUUUUUUUGUGAAAUCUCAUAUUCCUUAUUUUUAUAUUGUGUUAAUAUUUCUCUUAUCUAUUUCUAGGGCUUAAAGUUUAGGAAAAUUAAUCCUGUCAGUGAUAUGAGUUGUAAAUUUCAUAAUUUGUCUUUUGACUUUGUUUACAGUGUUGUUUGAGGAGGAUCAUAGUUUUGCCAUUUCAAAACUAUGAGGAACAUCUUCCAUGUAUUCUUCUACUUUUAUAUCCCUAUUUUAUACAUCUAAAUCUUUGAUCUCAUUUGGAAUUUAUUUAGUAUAUAGUGAUAACACAAUAAAUAAAGAGUUACCCAGAUGUCAACACUAUCUUUUCUCUGCCACUAAUGAUCUGAGACAUUACCAUUUUUAUAAUAUCAAAUGCAUGUAUGAAUUUGGGUCUAUUUCUAGAUUUACUUUUCUACUUCACUGAAUAGUGUUCAUAAACUAGUAUACACUGACUUAAUUAGAAUAUACUGAUUAUCUGGUAGGGUGCUCCCCCACCAUUGCUUUUCUUUUCUGGCCGUUCAUGCCUAUUUUUUUUUUCUUUUUCAUUAUUUAGAGAAUACUUCAUUAGUUUCUGUAAUCAAACCCAUGCAGAUAAGACCUUACAUAUUUAAUACAGUGUGUUACCCCUUCACAAAUGGAAAAAAAUCAAAUUUAACAUUUCUAGACUAAUAUGGCUGUUAAUUUCUAUACAAUGCCAACUCAACACA